rnacentral:rRNA from 1 species
GAUGAACGCUAGCGGCAGGCUUAACACAUGCAAGUCGAGGGGCAGCGCGGGUAGCAAUACCUGGCGGCGACCGGCAAACGGGUGCGGAACACGUACAGAACCUACCUUUAACUGGGGCAUAGCCCGAAGAAAUUCGGAUUAACUCCCCAUAAAAUAUAUGAGUGGCAUCACUUGAAUAUUAAAAAUUUAUUGGUUAAAGAUGGCUGUGCGUCCCAUUAGCUAGUUGGUAGGUAACGGCCUACCAAGGCGACGAUGGGUAGCUGGUGUGAGAGCACGACCAGCCACACGGGCACUGAGACACGGGCCCGACUCCUACGGGAGGCAG